rnacentral:lncRNA from 1 species
UUCAUCUAAAAAACAAGUAGAUGCCCCCGAAUCCAAUAAAGCUAAAGUUUUUUAUUUUUGAGGGCCUAAAAACAAAGGAAUUGUAAAACAACGGGCAGGUUGGACAGAGAAGGAAGAACCUGAUUGUUGUCGUGAUAUUAGAUUGUCCAGCCGCACGGUUCCUACUGUGGCUGGGCGUCGUCGUUUUCCGGAAUCAUCGCACUUCUAGUCUUGACAGGGUGCCAAUUUUGCUUCUUGGGGCAAUUUCCAACCUUGUGACCUUCUUCUCCAUAGUA